rnacentral:rRNA from 1 species
CCUACGGGUGGCAGCAGUGGGGAAUAUUGGACAAUGGGGGCAACCCUGAUCCAGCCAUGCCGCGUGUGUGAAGAAGGCCCUCGGGUUGUAAAGCACUUUCAGUGAGGAAGAACGCCUGGUGGUUAAUACCCAUCAGGAAAGACAUCACUCACAGAAGAAGCACCGGCUAACUCCGUGCCAGCAGCCGCGGUAAUACGGAGGGUGCGAGCGUUAAUCGGAAUUACUGGGCGUAAAGCGCGCGUAGGUGGCUUGAUAAGCCGGUUGUGAAAGCCCCGGGCUCAACCUGGGAACGGCAUCCGGAACUGUGAAGCUAGAGUGCAGGAGAGGAAGGUAGAAGUCCCGGUGUAGCGGUGAAAUGCGUAGAGAUCGGGAGGAAUACCAGUGGCGAAGGCGGCCUUCUGGACUGACACUGACACUGAGGUGCGAAAGCGUGGGUAGCAAACAGGAUUAGAUACCCGUGUAGUC